CCUACGGGGGGCAGCAGUGAGGAAUAUUGGUCAAUGGCCGAGAGGCUGAACCAGCCAAGUCGCGUGAGGGAUGACGGCCCUACGGGUUGUAAACCUCUUUUGUCGGGGAGCAAGACCCGCCUCGUGCAGGCGGAGCGAGAGUACCCGAAGAAAAAGCAUCGGCUAACUCCGUGCCAGCAGCCGCGGUAAUACGGAGGAUGCGAGCGUUAUCCGGAUUUAUUGGGUUUAAAGGGUGCGCAGGCGGCGAGUUAAGUCAGCGGUAAAAUUUCGGGGCUCAACCCCGACGAGCCGUUGAAACUGGCUUG
rnacentral:rRNA from 1 species